GCCGAGAUAGCUCAGUUGGGAGAGCGACAGACUGAAGGCUCUGAGUCAGAGUUCGAGUUCUGCAGGUCAGGUGUUCAAUUCACCUUCUUGGCA